UUACAUCAUAAAGGUUCAGAAGCUACCUGCUUCAUAGGUUACACCUUUAUUGUCUUCAACAUUGUCUAUAUACUUCUUUCUGAUGUGUCGCAAUGACUUUCUUCUUAUUUUCUUCUUUUUCUGAGCUCCUUUCCGCCGAUAGCUUGAUCCCUGCUUUGUCGCAGUUGUGGGCACCUUUACGAGCGAAGAAUCCAGGCGUUUCAAAAUUCAAAUUCAAAAAAUUUGAGGACUGAUAAAUAGGUGGCAAGAGCUACACUGUUUCCUGCUCUACAUAUGUAGACUUUGGACAUCUGUCCCAGAUGGCCCCGUUCAAGCAUUCAUUUGCAUGGUCAAGCCAUGUGUAGCCAAAUCAUCAAAUAUAGGCUCAACCAACUCAACAAUGGGCUUUGG